ACGGCGGACGGGUGAGUAACGCGUGGUAACCUACCCUGUACACACGGAUAACAUAACCGAAAGGUAUGCUAAGUACGGGAUAAUAUAUUUGAGAGGCAUCUCUUAAAUAUCAAAGGUGAGCCAGUACAGGAUGGACCCGCGUCUGAUUAGCUAGUUGGUAAGGUAACGGCUUACCAAGGCGACGAUCAGUAGCCGACCUGAGAGGGUGAUCGGCCACAUUGGAACUGAGACACGGUCCAA
rnacentral:rRNA from 1 species